rnacentral:rRNA from 1 species
UACGUAGGCAGCGAGCGUUGUUCGGAGUUACUGGGCGUAAAGGGUGUGUAGGCGGUUGUUUAAGUGUGGUGUGAAAUCUCCCGGCUCAACUGGGAGGGUGCGCCGAAUACUGAAUGACUUGGAGUGCGGGAGAGGUGAGUGGAAUUCCUGGUGUAGCGGUGAAAUGCGUAGAUAUCAGGAGGAACACCGGUGGUGUAGACGGCUCACUGGACCGUAACUGACGCUGAGACACGAAAGCGUGGGUAGCAAACAGG